AGGUCCCAGCUGUCCCCACUCCCAGCUGCAAGCUGUUCGGCUGGGUCCUGCUCAUUUCUCUCUGGGUUUUUCUGUUCCCUCCUCAGCGCCCACAAGCCUUUGUCCUGGAUUUGGGACUCUUGGGCCUUACCUGCAGGUCCUGAGCCCAGCUGGUCCUGGAACUGUUCUAUCUGCCUUAUAGGGCAGUGUCCAUCCUUCUCCGGGCCUGCUCUCUGUCUCCCCAGCACAGGAGUCUUCCAGCUUCUUAAGUGGGCCUUGGAGGGUCCUGUGAUCAGUUACAGAGGAUGCUAAUUCUGCCCAUCCCCCUCCACCUUCCACCACUGCAGCUAAUCCAUCUCCAGCUUGUCCUGAAUUCUUACAGGGGGGCUCAAGGUGGCAUCACUAUCAGAAAAUGUUAAGAGUGAGAAGAAAAUCCUGGGAGAUGGCUGGAUCCCACCUACUCUUUCUGCUGAGCAUCACUGUUGUUGCUGCUGGCUGAGCACCCAGCCCUCCAUGCCGGAGUGGUCCUGUUAAAAACGGAGUUCAGUUCAUGUCACCCCUCUGCUUGAAACCUUCCAAAGGCUUCCUGCUCACUCAGAGUAAAAGCCAAAGUCCUUACUACCACCCAGAAGGAUCCAUGUGGUGGAUUGAAGAUGGCCACAAGUUCUUUGACACUCCCCUUGUUGAGAGGUAUAUUAGUGCCUGUCCUGUGCCCCUUGAAUCUGGUGGGCUUCAUGACUACUUUGACCAAUAGAAUAUGGCAGAAGUGCCACUGUGCCUAUUUCUGGGGCCAGGCCUUAAAAGACUAGCAACUUCUAUUUCUUCUCUUUUGAAACAUUUGCUCUUGGAACUUUGAGCCACUACGUAGGGAAGCCAACCAUCUGCUGCAGAGACCACGUGGAAAAGCCCUAAGACUUCAUGCAGAGGAGAAGGGGCCCAGCCGAGCCCAGCCUGCCAGUCACUCCACCAAGGCCCCAGACACGAGAGUGAAACCAUUUAGGACCCUAUAGACCAACCCAUCUGCCAGGUGAACACCACCAAGUGACUUCAGUUGAUGCCACGUGGAGCAGAAAAAUCACCAGUUGAGUCCUGUCCAAAUUUCUGACCAUAAGUUGUGACAUAUAAAAGGAUAGUUGCUGUUUAAGCCACCAAAUUUGAGAUAAUUUCUUAUGCAGAAGUAGAUAAGCGGAACAGCUUAACCAACCUUCUCCCUCCCAUCAUCUCCAAGACCUCAUCUACUGCCUUUCUCCUCCCUUACUCCUCUCUAGUCCCACUUGCCUCCUCGCAGUUCCUCAAACUCUCCAGAAAAUCUUGUGUCUAGGACCUCUGCAUGUGCUGUUCCUAGUGUACAUUCUUCCGUAUACACUUAAAUAAAGCUCGAUCAGACUAUACUGUUUUGAACCCUACUUUUUCAGUUUAUAAUAAAUAAUAUUCAUCUUUCUGUUGGAAUAUUCUACCAAAACAUUUUUAAUGGAUGUAUAGAGUUCGAUUCUGCAAAUAUUUAUUUGUUUUACCAACAUUUCCUUUGUGAAGGCUUUCUAGUAUACAGAAAAGUUGAAAGAAUUGCACAAUGAAAACCCAUAUAUUUGCCACCUAAACUCUAUAAGUAACCUUUAACUAUAUUUGAUUUAUCACAUAUCUAUUCCUCUAUCAAACAUUUUUUUAC
rnacentral:lncRNA from 1 species